CGCACGCUGCAGCCGAGACCCCUUCUGUCACCUCAAAAUGGAAGAUCGCAUUGCGAGAGCUGUGACAGGGCUUGCUGGGGAAGUGUUGGGAGACGAAGGAGGGAGUGAGGAGAAAGAGAAAUAAAAGGGAUGAGGGAGCGUAUCUGGUGCAGGCCGUGAGAGCAGCGGGCAAGUGCGAUGCGGUCUUCAAGGGCUUUUCGGACUGUUUGCUCAAGCUGGGCGACAGCAUGGCCAACUACCCGCAGGGCCUGGACGACAAGACGAACAUCAAGACCGUGUGCACAUACUGGGAGGAUUUCCACAGCUGCACGGUCACAGCCCUUACGGAUUGCCAGGAAGGGGCGAAAGAUAUGUGGGAUAAACUGAGAAAAGAAUCCAAAAACCUCAACAUCCAAGGCAGCUUAUUCGAACUCUGCGGCAGCGGCAACGGGGCGGCGGGGUCCCUGCUCCCGGCGUUCCCGGUGCUCCUGGUGUCUCUCUCGGCAGCUUUAGCGACCUGGCUUUCCUUCUGACCGUGGGGCCAGCUCCCCCCACGCGCCCACCCACACUCACUCCAUGCUCCCGGAAAUCGAGAGGAAGAUCCAUUAGUUCUUUGGGGACGUUGUGAUUCUCUGUGAUGCUGAAAACACUCAUAUAGGAUUGUGGGAAAUCCUGGUUCUCUUUUUUAUUUCGUUUGAUUUCUUGUGUUUUAUUUGCCAAAUGUUACCAAUCAGUGAGCAAGCAAGCACAGCCAAAAUCGGACCUCAGCUUUAGUCCGUCUUCACACACAAAUA
rnacentral:sRNA from 1 species